AUUGAACGCUGGCGGCAUGCUUUACACAUGCAAGUCGAACGGCAGCGCGGGCUUCGGCCUGGCGGCGAGUGGCGAACGGGUGAGUAAUGCAUCGGAACGUGCCCAGUAGUGGGGGAUAGCCCGGCGAAAGCCGGAUUAAUACCGCAUACGACCUGAGGGUGAAAGCGGGGGACCGAAAGGCCUCGCGCUAUUGGAGCGGCCGAUGUCGGAUUAGCUAGUUGGUGGGGUAAAGGCUUACCAAGGCGACGAUCCGUAGCUGGUCUGAGAGGACGACCGGCCACACUGGGACUGAGACACGGCCCAGACUCCUACGGGAGGCAGCAGUGGGGAAUGUUGGACAAUGGGGGCAACCCUGAUCCAGCCAUGCCGCGUGCGGGAAGAAGGCCUUCGGGUUGUAAACCGCUUUUGUUCGGGAAGAAAUCCUCUGGGCUAAUACCCCGGGGGGAUGACGGUACCGGAAGAAUAAGCACCGGCUAACUACGUG
rnacentral:rRNA from 1 species